GACAGAGGUGCCGAGCGUUAGGCGGAAUCACUGGGCUUAAAGCGUGUGUAGGCGGGUCGUUAAGUGUCUUGUGAAAUCCCCCGGCUCAACCGGGGAAUGGCUGGGCAUACUGGCGAUCUUGAGCAGUCUAGGGGCAGAUGGAACAAGUGGUGGAGCGGUGAAAUGCGUAGAUAUCAGGAGGAACACCUGUGGUGUAGACGGCUUUCUGGACCAUAGCUGACGCUGAGACACGAAAGCGUGGGUAGCAAACAGG
rnacentral:rRNA from 1 species